rnacentral:rRNA from 1 species
UACGUAGGGUGCGAGCGUUAAUCGGAAUUACUGGGCGUAAAGGGCUCGUAGGCGGCCAACUAAGUCAUACGUGAAAUCCCUCGGCUUAACCGGGGAACUGCGUCUGAUACUGGAUGGCUUGAGUUUGGGAGAGGGAUGCGGAAUUCCAGGUGUAGCGGUGAAAUGCGUAGAUAUCCGGAGGAACACCGGUGGCGAAGGCGGCAUCCUGGACCAACACUGACGCUGAGUGAGCGAAAGCCAGGGGAGCAAACGGG